CGGACGGGUGAGUAAUGUCUGGGAAACUGCCUGAUGGAGGGGGAUAACUACUGGAAACGGUAGCUAAUACCGCAUAACGUCUUCGGACCAAAGUGGGGGACCUUCGGGCCUCACGCCAUCGGAUGUGCCCAGAUGGGAUUAGCUAGUAGGUGGGGUAAUGGCUCACCUAGGCGACGAUCCCUAGCUGGUCUGAGAGGAUGACCAGCCACACUGGAACUGGGACACGGUCCAG
rnacentral:rRNA from 1 species